CAGUAGCCACGGUAAUACAGAGGGUGCGAGCGUUAAUCGGAUUUACUGGGCGUAAAGCGUGCGUAGGCGGCUUCUUAAGUCGGAUGUGAAAUCCCUAAGCUUAACUUAGGAAUUGCAUUCGAUACUGGGAAGCUAGAGUAUGGGAGAGGAUGGUAGAAUUCCAGGUGUAGCGGUGAAAUGCGUAGAGAUCUGGAGGAAUACCGAUGGCGAAGGCAGCCAUCUGGCCUAAUACUGACGCUGAGGUACGAAAGCAUGGGGAGCAAACAGGAUUAGAUACCCCGGUAGUCCCUGUCUCUUAUAC
rnacentral:rRNA from 1 species